UACGGGGGGUGCGAGCGUUGUCCGGAAUCACUGGGCGUAAAGGGCGCGUAGGUGGUCUGAUAAGGGUGUGGUGAAAGUCCGGGGCUCAACCCCGGAUCUGCCGUGCCGACUGUCAGACUCGAGGACUGUAGAGGCAGGCGGAAUUCCGGGUGUAGCGGUGGAAUGCGUAGAGAUCAGGUGGAACACCGAUGGCGAAGGCAGCCUCCUGGACGGGUACUGACGCUGAGGCGCGAAAGCGUGGGGAGCAAACAGG
rnacentral:rRNA from 1 species